rnacentral:rRNA from 1 species
UACGAAGGGGGCAAGCGUUGUUCGGAAUUACUGGGCGUAAAGGGCUCGUAGGCGGCCCUCUCAGUCGGAUGUGAAAUCCCCAGGCUCAACUUGGGAACGGCAUCCGAUACUGGAGGGCUUGAAUUCGGGAGAGGGAUGCAGAAUUCCAGGUGUAGCGGUGAAAUGCGUAGAUAUCUGGAGGAAUACCGGUGGCGAAGGCGGCAUCCUGGACCGAGAUUGACGCUGAGGAGCGAAAGCUAGGGGAGCAAACGGG